CGGGUUUUUAAAAAAUUCAAAAAAAAAUUCUAUUCUAUUCUGCUAUUUUCUAGUAUUAAUUUUGUUGUUAUAUUCUGUUAUUUUCUAUUCGUCUGUUAUUUUUAUUCUUUUCUUUCUAUUCUGUUCUAGUCGGGUCUGGUCGGGUACGUUUUGAACAUGCUCAUAUGCCACUAGAGCUUCGAGCAUGUUUGUCCCGAGGCCGGUCUCUGGAUAGCCGGAAAUCUGUCCCGAGGCCGGUCUCUGGAUAGCCGGAAAUCUGUCCCGAGGCCGGUCUCUGGAUAGCCAGAAAUCUGCCUCUAGUCUUUUUUUCCCAUUCUGUUAUUUCCUGCUCUGUUAUCUUCAUUUCUAUUUUUUUUUUUUUUUUUUUAUUUGUUCUGUUAUUUUCUGGAGCUUUGAUCUGCUUUCGCGUGAGCCAACACAUGCUCCCAUGUGUUACAACAGCUUGUCUGAACGUGCAGUCAAGAACACAACCAGUCUCCAAAUAUAAAAACAAAAAUCAAUCUCCACUGAGCAGAUUCGAACCACGGACUCCCAGUACGCUCUACCAACUGAGCUAAUAGGGACAUUCCCACAACUACUGCCAGUAGGAGCACUUUAUACCAACACUGGAAUUGGAAAUACACGAAAACAAAAAGUCCGUACAUACCACGGCAUUUGAUGUAGCAGUUACAGGACACAUGCUGGGACGGGGAUAAAGCCCGAGGUCUACCAGGGAUAAAUCAGAGCGACUACAAGGGGAAACCAGGGGUCUCGCCCACAGAUCUCUGAGAAUUGAAAAUCUGCGUAUCCCAUUUAUCGGUUACGCAGAAAUAAAUCCAGACGUUUUGCUCGUGCUGCACGUACAUGGAGUCCUGGAUUGCAGCGAUCUCCAGGAUGCAUCCUUUGAUGAGAUGUCGCUGAUCUUCAAAGUUCAAGUCCAGAAAUGCGGGAAUUUCCAUGGCAAACGUUGAAACGGAGCGAAUAAUCACAGGGAGAUAUCGGAGCUACGGCCCUGGUGUUCUGAUGAUGACAGCGAACUCGCUAAACAACAUGACAUGUCUUGAAACAGCCAUUUUCGAAAGCAGAAAACAGAAGAAAAAACAAACAAGAUUUCAAUCUGUUACAUGGAGCAGUUGUCAGGUAUCGAGGAAGUGACGACAGCUGUUGAACUUACAAAACAGAACUUCCUGAAUAUUGCACUCUAUGACGAAGGAAUUGAAAAACUAGCCCACACAUGUGGUGGGGACUAUAUUGAACAAUAAACAGAUGAGCAUAGAAUAAAAUGUGUAUUGAU